UCCCAGGUUAAAAGAAUCCAUGGUUAAGGAACAAGGCUACAUUUUCCUUUAUAUCAGUAGCAUGCUACUUAGUCAGUGUCUGAAGAAAGAGGAUCAGAAGAGCUCAUAAUCAAGCAAUCUCUUUUGAUGCUGCAUAAAACCAGAACCAAGGAUAACAGGAUGGAUUAUUUACAUCUUCAAGGACCCACAAAGAAGAGCCUGUUGUUUGUUGUUCAUGACUGUCUCUGCAGCAGCAUCUCUAAAUCCAGCUGGACACACCAGAAGGCUGACAGCUAAGAACCUGGGUGCUGCAUUUGAGAUCCCAGAAGGAGCAGAUGUGGUAGUCGUGGUGGUGCUGUUGUGAUGAGAUGUCUGGACAGCUGAUGUAGCUAUUUCUUUUAUGAAACAUUUUUACUGGACGAUGUUUGUCAUAUAGUUUCAUAAAUAUUUCUUGAAAUUCUUCACAUUCACUAUUUAUAUUGUUUUGCCGAUAAACAGGCUCCCAGUUAUGUGACAAUAAAUUGUUCUUCAAAGUU